GUUGCCUGCUUUUCUCCUGUAGAGACACUAGGGUUGGAGCCUUAUGAGCCUUGAGCUUGAGGUGCGCCUUUAAUAACUAUUUGUAAUUGAUUUAUGCUUUUCAUGGAUUAAAGGAUAUUUAAUUUAAAUGUGAUGAAUUGAUUAAUUUUGUAAGCAUUAGAGGUUAAAGUUUGUAUGCACUAUAUCACACCCAUAAUUUAGUUUUCUAUUACAUGUAUGAUAACCAUCAAUGGAAGACAAAAAAAGAUCAACACAAUGAUAGAAGUUGAGAAAGACAUUGAAGUCACGGCACGUGAAAUCUAGUCAUCUGCCCAUAAGGUGAAUAUUCUGCAUAGGAAUUCAAAUAGAUGGAAAAGUGGACAAUGAUCCUAGAAAAUUGAAAUGCAAUUGUUAAAGCAUACUAUAAGAUGACAUAAGCUAAAUUUGAAUAUUAACCAAAAAUAGCAAUCUUCAAAAUCGCAAUGGGUCAGCCAUCCAUUUGCCCAUUACCUUUUUAAGACGUCUGAGAUAACUACUACUCAUUAUAUGGAAUGUUCAAAGCAUAAUAGGUAAAAGGGAAAAUUAGAAAUUAUCAACAUGUGUAUCGAGAGCUUUUGAGUAUGAGGCUAUAGAUUGAAACUAUAUCAAACAACACAUAUCUAGAAAGCAAAUACAUUAUGCAGUGACCAUCUGAAGCAUCAAACUGAGCAGGCACACGUGUAGUUUUCAACUAUAUACUCUCCUUAAUAAACUACAAUCAUCUAGUUAAUAUUCAUUCAUUGAACAAGCAAUGUUUUGAAGUAGAAUUCUUAAAUUACAUACACCUGAGUUCGAACAUGAUGUGGAACCUUACAUUUGAACAAAAUAUCACCAUGUUUCCACCUUCCAACUUCUCAAAAAUGUCCAUAUCCAUAUAACUGACUAUUUAGUAACUUUUUAAAAGAAAUUCUACAUUUUACAUUUUCAGAACCUUAACCUCUAUGGAAUAAAUGGAUUUGCUAUCUUUGUGCAACUAUGCCCAACAAUAUUUUUUUUCUUAAUUUUUUUCAUUUAAGAGAAGGGAGAGUGGAGCUUUAGAAUUAGAACCCUAGCCUCCUCCACUAAGAGGUAGGAAUUUGAAUACUAGGCUACAACUAAGGGAGGCGUUUGGUAUGAGGUUGAUAAGGGGUAAUUAUUACCCUUGUAA
rnacentral:misc_RNA from 1 species